GACGAACGCUGGCGGCGUGCUUAACACAUGCAAGUCGAACGCUGAAGCUUGGUGCUUGCACUGGGUGGAUGAGUGGCGAACGGGUGAGUAUCACGUGAGUAACCUGCCCCUGACUUCGGGAUAAGCCUGGGAAACUGGGUCUAAUACCGGAUAUGACCAUCUUUCGCAUGUUGGGUGGUGGAAAGUUUUUUCGGUUGGGGAUGGGCUCGCGGCCUAUCAGUUUGUUGGUGGGGUAAUGGCCUACCAAGACGACGACGGGUAGCCGGCCUGAGAGGGCGACCGGCCACACUGGGACUGAGACACGGCCCAGACUCCUACGGGAGGCAGCAGUGGGGAAUAUUGCACAAUGGGGGAAACCCUGAUGCAACGACGCCGCGUGGGGGAUGACGGCCUUCGGGUUGUAAACCUCUUUCAGUAGGGAAGAAGCCUUUGGGUGACGGUACCUGCAGAAGAAGUACCGGCUAACUACGUGCCAGCAGCCGCGGUAAUACGUAGGGUACAAGCGUUGUCCGGAAUUAUUGGGCGUAAAGAGCUCGUAGGUGGUUUGUCGCGUCUGCUGUGGAAUCGUGCCGCUUAACGGUGCGCGUGCAGUGGGUACGGGCAGACUGGAGUGCAGUAGGGGAGUCUGGAAUUCCUGGUGUAGCGGUGAAAUGCGCAGAUAUCAGGAGGAACACCGGUGGCGAAAGGCGGGACUCUGGGCUGUUACUGACGCUGAGGAGCGAAAGCAUGGGGAGCGAACAGG
rnacentral:rRNA from 1 species